rnacentral:rRNA from 1 species
AACGAACGCUGGCGGCAGGCCUAACACAUGCAAGUCGAACGCCCUAGCAAUAGGGAGUGGCAGACGGGUGAGUAACACGUGGGAACCUUCCCUAUAGUAUGGAAUAGCCCAGGGAAACUUGGAGUAAUACCGUAUACGCCCGAGAGGGGAAAGAUUUAUCGCUAUAGGAUGGGCCCGCGUAGGAUUAGCUAGUUGGUGAGGUAAUGGCUCACCAAGGCGACGAUCCUUAGCUGGUCUGAGAGGACGACCAGCCACACUGGGACUGAGACACGGCCCAGACUCCUACGGGAGGCAGCAGUGGGGAAUAUUGGACAAUGGGCGCAAGCCUGAUCCGGCCAUGCCGCGUGAGUGAUGAAGGCCUUAGGGUUGUAAAGCUCUUUUGCCGGGGACGAUAAUGACGGUACCCGGAGAAUAAGUCCGGCUAACUUCGUG